rnacentral:rRNA from 1 species
AAGACCUUUGCACUUUUGGAGCGGCCGAUGUCUGAUUAGCUAGUUGGUGGGGUAAUGGCCUACCAAAGCUUCGAUCAGUAGCUGGUCUGAGAGGACGGCCAGCCACACUGGGACUGAGACACGGCCCAGACUCCUACGGGAGGCAGCAGUGGGGAAUUUUGGACAAUGGGCGCAAGCCUGAUCCAGCCAUGCCGCGUGAGUGAAGAAGGCCUUCGGGUUGUAAAGCUCUUUCAGCCGGGAAGAAAAGGUUGCGACUAAUAAUCGCAAUCCAUGACGGUACCGAAAGAAGAAGCACCGGCUAACUACGUGCCAGCAGCCGCGGUAAUACGUAGGGUGCGAGCGUUAAUCGGAAUUACUGGGCGUAAAGGGUGCGCAGGCGGUUUUGUAAGUCAGAUGUGAAAUCCCCGGGCUUAACCUGGGAACU